UACAGAGGUCCCAAGCGUUGUUCGGAUUCACUGGGCGUAAAGGGUGCGUAGGUGGUCGGGUAAGUCUGAUGUGAAAUCUCCGAGCUUAACUCGGAAAUGGCAUUGGAUACUAUUCGACUGGAGGGUUGGAGGGGGGACUGGAAUUCUCGGUGUAGCAGUGAAAUGCGUAGAUAUCGAGAGGGACACCAGUGGCGAAGGCGAGUCCCUGGACAACUCCUGACACUGAGGCACGAAAGCUAGGGGAGCAAACAGG
rnacentral:rRNA from 1 species